UCGAGGAUCUUCGGCAAUGGGGGCAACCCUGACCGAGCGAUGCCGCGUGCGCGAUGAAGGCCUUCGGGUUGUAAAGCGCUUUAGUGGGGGAGAAAAGCCGCAAGGUGUGAUCUAUCCCAAAAAUAAGCUCGGGCUAAGUUCGUGCCAGCAGCCGCGGUAAGACGAACCGAGCGAACGUUGUUCGGAAUCACUGGGCUUAAAGGGCGCGUAGGCGGGCUAUCAAGUCUGGGGUGAAAUGCCACGGCUCAACCGUGGAACUGCCUCAGAUACUGACGGCCUCGAGGGAGGUAGGGGCAUGUGGAACUGUAGGUGGAGCGGUGAAAUGCGUUGAUAUCUACAGGAACUCCGGUGGCGAAAGCGACGUGCUGGACCUUCUCUGACGCUGAGGCGCGAAAGCUAGGGGAGCAAACG
rnacentral:rRNA from 1 species